rnacentral:rRNA from 1 species
GCGGUAGAGAGAAGCUUGCUUCUCUUGAGAGCGGCGGACGGGUGAGUAAUGCCUAGGAAUCUGCCUAGUGGUGGGGGAUAACGUUCGGAAACGGACGCUAAUACCGCAUACGUCCUACGGGAGAAAGCGGGGGACCUUCGGGCCUCGCGCCAUUAGAUGAGCCUAGGUCGGAUUAGCUAGUUGGUGAGGUAAUGGCUCACCAAGGCUACGAUCCGUAACUGGUCUGAGAGGAUGAUCAGUCACACUGGAACUGAGACACGGUCCAGACUCCUACGGGAGGCAGCAGUGGGGAAUAUUGGACAAUGGGCGAAAGCCUGAUCCAGCCAUGCCGCGUGUGUGAAGAAGGUCUUCGGAUUGUAAAGCACUUUAAGUUGGGAGGAAGGGUAGUAACUUAAUACGUUGCUACUUUGACGUUACCGACAGACUANGCACCGGCUGAUU